UUCCCGGCGCUCCCGCAGCCUCUCAGUGCAGCUGGCGAGCAGGUGGGCUGGUGCUGGGGUGGAGCCAAUCCUCCGCCUGGGGGAGCCUCCCUGAGGCCGGGAAAGGGGUGGGUGGCCCCCACCUCAGCCCCCAUCUCAGACCAGGGGCGGCGGGGGCUCACUGCAGCGCUGUCACUCCUGCUCCCCAUGUAUCUGGCUGGGGCAUCCCCCAGGCAGGCUUGUUUAGUUGACGUGACCAAAAGAAAAUUAGUUGUCCCCAAAAGUUCCCAGGCACAGAACUCUGGUGAGCUGCCCCUGGCCUGUACCUGCCCCCAGCGUCUGCAAAACACCCCCACGCUGCGGCGGGAGCAGCCCCCUGCUCUCUGCACCAAGGCACUGGCCUGCAAAACACCCCCACGCUGCAGCCGGAGCAGCCCCCUGCACUGCACCAAGGAUUUAACAUCUGCUGGACUAUUCUUGCUGUUGGUCCCAGGAUUGAACCUUUCUGUGAUGAUCUUCAGAGCCCACAUUUGAUGAAUUUAAGUUAUAACAACAGCUACUGAAACACCUCGAAAUCCCAUAACCCUCAACCAAAGAAUGCAAUUUAAUGGAUAAAGCCAUCUGCCUUAGGAUUAGAAUGCUGAAAACAUACAGAUGAAUAAUACUGACCCAGUGUUAAUCACCGGCAUUUGUUGAAGUGAACAGUGAACAACCCUCUGUGUGAGAGAGUUCAGUUGCCCCAUCCAUUCAGUUCUCCUCAACUGCCAGCAUUUCCAUGGAAACCCCCAAAAAUAAAGACUUUCCCAGCCUUGUGAGAACACACCUGCAAGAACCAGAAUCACAUUUCGCCUUUGGCCUCUCAAAAGUGACACUCCUCCAUUUUGGUGUCACCUAAGGACAUUUGUUUUUACACUAGGUAUGGAUAUGUGCUCUCAACAUUUGCAGAAAGUAUAUAUUAAUUUAAAAUUGCUAUCAUUUGAACUCUUGCCAUUGAGUAGUAACAAAUGUGUUUUGCUAUCCAACAACUCUCUCUUUAAAAUGUUACUUCAUUCUCUUUUUAAGGGAAAAUAAAUAAACAAAAGGAAUUGCUCUAAA